UUCAACCUAAACAAUUGAAGUUGAAGAAAAAUUCCCCUAGAUUCAAACCAAUGCCAAUUGGGGGACUAUCCAAAAGUCUUAUAAUAGCAAUUACAAUAAAUUGGGGGACUAAUAUCAUCAAAAUAUGAAAGAUGCAACGGACUAGGAUCUAAACAAAACUCCACGAUUAUAAAAACCAUCGCCUAAAUACGGUUUAUUCGGAUCAAGCGUGGCGCGGGUUCAUCUUACCGCUUUGGCCCAAACCAUUAGAACCAUCGGAUCCGGUUCACCUCCACCGCGGACCUGGCAGAGAUACGAUGGAUCCGGUUCUCCGCCGCCGCGGUGUUCUGAUCCUCCUCCUCCUCUCCCAUAUCACCGCCGUCCUUCAAACGCCAUCACCCUCACGGUGCAGGCCCAAAAAAGUUGAGUCACAUAAAUGUUUGAACUAGAAGAGGCUGGGAGAGCUGGACGGAUGAAGGAAGGCAAUAAUGCUUCCACUAACAUGAAAUUCCAAGCAUGUACAAGUAAAAUUUUUAUUAUUUUUAGUGCCCCUUUUAAACAUAAUUAUUUGAUUAAUUUAGUUUUGUUUAUAGAGAUUAUUGAGAAAAUGCUUUUGUUUUUCCUGUAGAAGACAAAUUAUUUCUAAUUCCAAGUAAGAUGCACCCUUCUACUUUUGGAAUGACUGAAAUGCAUGAAUACAAGAACCACCAACUAAAUUUGGAUGCUAUCCAUUGUCAUUAAAAAAAACACCAAGAAUGAAACAUGUCCAAUAGUACUGCUGUUUAAUACUUUGUAGUCCCCCAAACUAUGCUUGAGUGACCUUUGUCCUAAUGUAUAGAACAUAUGCAGCUAGGUGAAUGAAGAGACAGGAAAUGGCUUUUCAAACAUAAUUUGUAGAACAUUUAUAAGGCACACGUAGACAUAAGAACUGGAUUUAAUAUAUCAUUUAGACUGAAUUGACUUAUUUGGUAACAAAAUUAACAUAACUUGAGCUCACCUUUAAGAAACAAAACAAAACUUGAGACUUGGAAACAUAAAUGGUAAUGUUCGACUUCAAACAACAUAAAAUUUGAUAAUGGGUCUUAAAGAACAAAGUCUGUGGAAGCUCAGCACCACAAUAGGAAUCAUAAAAUGUCUGCGGAUGCCUAAUGCUGCAAACGCACUAGAUCAAGAUAUACAACUCCUGCAAGAUCAGCGCAUUGCUUUCUCUUGGACUGAAGACGAUGCUCAGAGCUGAACGAGAGAUCAAACAAGCUUUCAACAGGUUCAAAUCCUGCACCACAAAAUAAUGAAAGAAUAAUAAGUUGGGUAAUCUUCUGGAGGAUUGAUAGACUUUUCUUUAAGAAACCAUGUGAUAAAAGCAUUUUCACACCUCUGUUUCGCCCAGAGUUACCUUCCCCUCUACCAUAGUGCCAAUUAGUACUUUCAAUUCCUUGAAGAUUUCGACACUGCAUAGAGGGAGGGGUGUGUCGCAACCAUCUCAUCCAUGACUGUAAAUUUAACAAACCUGUUUGAAAACGCCCUCCUAUUCCCGUCCCUGGCAUGCGCAACUCGGUAUUUAUUUCAGUGCUAUUACAGAUUGGCUUGUCAUCAAAACUGAACAGAGAAUCAUUGCAUCUAAUGUGAAGAGGAAUCUUAGGAUCAGUAAGUUUUUUUUCUUGCGUUCCUCGGAGACAAUGCAAUCACCACUACCCACAUUUUAAAAGCAACAACCAGAUUCUUAGAACUGAAGCGAACCUGCCAAAGACAAGCAGUGCUGUAGGAUGCGAAAAUUGCUGGCAUGUGGGGAGGGAAUGUGGCAGGGGAUAUGCAAACAGGUUAGUGAGGUUCAUCGUUCCUAAUGAGAUAGCUGCCACGCCAGUUUCACUAAUUUCUGGAAUUGGUGUGAUCAAAGAGCUUGGAGCUACCGUUAACAACUUAGUUGAGAAGGAGCUGGAACUUGGAGAAUCAGAAGUGAAGUUUUCUUAUUAUUCCACAAUUCUAAAACUUUUCACUCUGAGAAUUGCAUCUUAUAUUAAUCUUGUUAAACUAACUAUUUCCUUCUAUAUUCGCUGUGAUGCAGGUUUUGAAUCUGUUGAAAGGUCGUAUGAUCUUCCAAUCCACUGAACAAAGUAUUCUCUCCUAAGAAGCUGAGGAAGGCAUUCUAAGCUAUAACCUUUACUUUACUAGUGAACUUGCAUUUAAUGUUUUAAUAUGUCUCAAACUUUCUGCCAAUAAGGUCAGAACUUUUGAUGGUAAUCUAGUAGUUUAUUUAAUAUAAUAUAAUGCAAUUUUUUUCUUUUUGAAAUCUCUUUAGUUGAAUGAGACCUUUGUGCGUAAACUGUUGAUAGUUGAAGAUAGAUCAGAUAUUUAGCGAGUAAAGUCAAAUUUCCAGAAACAUCUCAAUUAUCAGAUAUUCAGUGAGUAAAGCAAAUUUCAGUUUAUACUUGUUACUUGGUAUAGAUAAAUAUAUUUAGGUGGGGGUAAAUCAGCAAUGCCUAAGUUAUAUGGACAUCUAGAGUACCUAUGAAAGCAUUUUUGUGGCUUGCCAUUAGAAAUGCUAUCCUGACGUGGGACAACCUGAUG